GAUGAACGCUGGCGGCGUGCCUAAUACAUGCAAGUCGAGCGAACAGACGAGGAGCUUGCUCCUCUGACGUUAGCGGCGGACGGGUGAGUAACACGUGGAUAACCUACCUAUAAGACUGGGAUAACUUCGGGAAACCGGAGCUAAUACCGGAUAAUAUAUUGAACCGCAUGGUUCAAUAGUGAAAGACGGUUUUGCUGUCACUUAUAGAUGGAUCCGCGCCGCAUUAGCUAGUUGGUAAGGUAACGGCUUACCAAGGCAACGAUGCGUAGCCGACCUGAGAGGGUGACCGGCCACACUGGAACUGAGCCACGGUCCAGACUCCUACGGGAGGAAGCAGUAGGGAAUCUUCCGCAAUGGGCGAAAGCCUGCCGGAGCAACGCCGCGUGAGUGAUGAAGGUCUUCGGAUCGUAAAACUCUGUUAUUAGGGAAGAACAAAUGUGUAAGUAACUAUGCACGUCUUGACGGUACCUAAUCAGAAAGCCACGGCUAACUACGUG
rnacentral:rRNA from 1 species